ACCCAUUGGCUAACUAGCGGAUAUUAUCUCAAGUCAAAUCAGAUCAAGUAACGCUGCGUUCAUGAAAAAAACUGCCAAACCCUAGCGGCCAAGUUAGAAAACACAAACACACGUCCGCCAUGCUUUGAAAGACCGUCAGCCAUGUGUAAAACGCGCUCAUAUUAUAUGAUUGAUUACCAACAAUCCGCAGUGUCGCUACCGUUCUCACUCACAGAGCACUGGAUGUGCAGCAUCGAUAUGGUCAUCAGUCGACGUGGUUCACAUAUAUUACAAUAAAUGACCAUUGCACCCUCACGCGAAGGUUGUUAGACAGUUUCUCAAUACGCAUAUUGUUUUAAUGAUAGCAAAACGGAAAAUGUUUUGCCUGUUUAAAACUUGAAAGAAAGCCCGAGCUGAGUGCGCCUGCAAUCAUCACAGGGUGCCACUUUUCAUAUCCCGUUCAUGUUUCUUAUGAAUUCACUUCGCCAAUGUCGUAAAAGGUCAGUUAACGACCACUUUGAAACUGAAAAUGGAACAUGUGGCAAAAAAAUGGUGGCGAUUUUCAAGCAAAACUACAUGGGCAUCCAAGCAAAAUGAGGAUUUCUUUUUCCGAAUGGAUCAAUGCACAACGUGGUAUUCGACUUGGUACACGAGACACGCUGAUUAUGACUGUUAAUCAGAAUCACAGAGUCUUUUCUUGACUACAAACUCGAUGGAUCUGAUCAUGAUAUACGCCUGAUUGGAAAUGCGAGUUACGUUGACUCCGUAGUGUUUGGAAAAGUGCUUCAGUUUAAUGAUAAAAAAGCAUCCGCAAUUCUACCCUAUAUAAAUAUAUUCAAGUUUCAAAAGAUUACUAUUAUAUUUUAUAUGAGAUUCCUUCAAACCAAGCCUCCCUCAAAUAUGUGGAUAGGUUUCUUAAGUAAUGCAAGGAAACUAAGUAUAGGGGAGGCGUGUACAAACUUUGUGAUUGGUGUUUGGCACAAAAGUACAGCUAAACACAGGAGGGCAGAUUUUUUUCACUUUUCGGGAGGUUAUCAUUCUGCUGCCAGUCGUAUAAGUUGGCAGCAUUUUGCUGUCACCAUUGGCUGGAAUAAGUUUUCUCCUAAGUCUCGUGUCGAACUUUAUUGGAAUGGCAAGUUCUUAAGAAGGUCUCCUGUUUUAAGUUAUUAUUAUUCGUCCACGCAGCGCAACAUAUCAUUUUUGGGUCAUUCCAUUCCAAUGAGUCAAAUGUCGAGUUUUAGGAUUUACCCAACUAUCGCGUCAAAAUAUCAUAUCUUGAGGAGCCAAAAAAGAGGUAGGUUUUUCAACAUCCAACUGUCUGGCUGAAUAAGCCUUGAAUAUAUCCAUCUCACAAGAACUGAAAAAUAAACUAGAAGUAGCGCUUUCCUGCAAUUCCAACUCUAACUUCAUCUUUCGAAGUUGAAUUACAAUUAUCUAGUGAUUCCUGAGAUAGAAUUAAAUUCACCACUGUUUUCAUCUUGAUCUUUAUCUUUGCAUGCAUCUUUACAAUAUUAUUUCAAAUUCCAAAGUGCUUCUGUCAUAAAUGUGCAUCCGCCUUUUUUUUUAAAGUCCUUAAUAUCCACGUCGUUGAAAAACUUUAUUUUAGUACAGCACAAUGUACAUCAUUAGUUUGUUCUUCCUGCACCUUCUGGAAUGUUUGAAUUUAGUACUUGCCAUGACUUGAAGAUGGGUAGUUCGAUAUUUAAGCAGUUUUCACAACUGUGUUUGUUAUCUUAUGCAAGUUAAAAAGUGUUACAGGUGACCUUUAAAUAUGAAGUCCACUUGUCUCUUCCGAUCCGAUUAUGAACUUUGCGAUAAUUAUGUUCGACACGGGAACUUGACACUUUUCCAAAGAUUUAGUGUCAACAAGAUGGCCGAAAUAUGAGCCCCAUGGGCACUGAACUUGGCGCAAGACCAACAAAAUGCAAACUCGCCCCAAUUCUGUGACAGGCUCGUAUGUUUACAGUCUAGCUCAUAAUGAUAUCAAUGUCUACUCAAUAUGAUACAUCACAAACUAAUGCGCCUAAUCCAACGCAGUUUUGGUAUACCGACCCGAAUUUGUGUUUUCUUGUAAUAUUCACACACAUGCACUACACCUAAACCAAUGUCACUUUGUGACACAUUUUGUGCUAAAUAA